rnacentral:rRNA from 1 species
AUGAACGCUAGCGACAGGCUUAACACAUGCAAGUCGAGGGGCAGCACAGGUAGCAAUACCGGGUGGCGACCGGCGCACGGGUGAGUAACGCGUAUGCAACUUGCCUAUCAGAGGGGGAUAACCCGGCGAAAGUCGGACUAAUACCGCAUGAAGCAGGGAUCCCGCAUGGGAAUAUUUGCUAAAGAUUCAUCGCUGAUAGAUAGGCAUGCGUUCCAUUAGGCAGUUGGCGGGGUAACGGCCCACCAAACCGACGAUGGAUAGGGGUUCUGAGAGGAAGGUCCCCCACAUUGGUACUGAGACACGGACCAAACUCCUACGGGAGGCAGCAGUGAGGAAUAUUGGUCAAUGGCCGAGAGGCUGAACCAGCCAAGUCGCGUGAGGGAUGAAGGUUCUAUGGAUCGUAAACCUCUUUUAUAAGGGAAUAAAGUGCGGGACGUGUCCCGUUUUGUAUGUACCUUAUGAAUAAGGAUCGGCUAACUCCGUGCCAGCAGCCGCGGUAAGACGGAGGAUCCGAGCGUUAUCCGGAUUUAUUGGGUUUAAAGGGUGCGUAGGCGGCCUUUUAAGUCAGCGGUGAAAGUCUGUGGCUCAACCAUAGAAUUGCCGUUGAAACUGGGGGGCUUGAGUAUGUUUGAGGCAGGCGGAAUGCGUGGUGUAGCGGUGAAAUGCAUAGAUAUCACGCAGAACCCCGAUUGCGAAGGCAGCCUGCCAAGCCAUUACUGACGCUGAUGCACGAAAGCGUGGGGAUCAAACAGGAUUAGAUACCCUGGUAGUCCACGCAGUAAACGAUGAUCACUAGCUGUUUGCGAUACACUGUAAGCGGCACAGCGAAAGCGUUAAGUGAUCCACCUGGGGAGUACGCCGGCAACGGUGAAACUCAAAGGAAUUGACGGGGGCCCGCACAAGCGGAGGAACAUGUGGUUUAAUUCGAUGAUACGCGAGGAACCUUACCCGGGUUUGAACGCAUUCGGACCGAGGUGGAAACACCUUUUCUAGCAAUAGCCGUUUGCGAGGUGCUGCAUGGUUGUCGUCAGCUCGUGCCGUGAGGUGUCGGCUUAAGUGCCAUAACGAGCGCAACCCUUGCCACUAGUUACUAACAGGUGAUGCUGAGGACUCUGGUGGGACUGCCAGCGUAAGCUGCGAGGAAGGCGGGGAUGACGUCAAAUCAGCACGGCCCUUACAUCCGGGGCGACACACGUGUUACAAUGGCGUGGACAAAGGGAUGCCACCUGGCGACAGGGAGCGAAUCCCCAAACCACGUCUCAGUUCGGAUCGGAGUCUGCAACCCGACUCCGUGAAGCUGGAUUCGCUAGUAAUCGCGCAUCAGCCAUGGCGCGGUGAAUACGUUCCCGGGCCUUGUACACACCGCCCGUCAAGCCAUGGGAGCCGGGGGUACCUGAAGUCCGUAACCGCGAGGAUCGGCCUAGGGUAAAACUGGUGACUGGGGCU